AAGACCCGAUGUUCAAGCAAAGCACAAGCUUUAUUCCUUUUCAAACAUUAAAGCAUUGUCUUAUAUAUAUUUGUUAUUUAAAUGCAGGUGUUUUGCAUCUUGAAAGAAGAAAAUAUCUGGAGCCUUUAGAGAAAAAAAAAAGAUCAUACAGAAGAACCUCAUAAAACAAUAAUAUUUAGAGCUCAAAGAAGACUUGAAAAUCAUCUAGUCCAAGGUGUCCAAAUGAAACAGACAAACCACCUCUGACGAUGAUGAUUUGGAGGAAUGCUGCUGUUAGUUGUGCCCUCUUAAAAUGUACCAGCCCUGGACUGCGAUUGUUGAAAGUGGGUUUGAUCCCUGGAGACCAUGCUAAUGGAGAAACACCACAGAUUCUAGAGGAGGAAGACAGGAUGUAUUGGAAAAUGGACAAGUGUGAAAUGGGAACUACUAGCCAGCAUCAUUUUAAACCUGCAGUUGUGAAUCAGCCUUUCAUCAUGGAAGACAGGUAAACUUUUGAUCAAACACAUACUUUUAAAGUAUUCAUUUUGUGGUAAGGGACAUUAAAAGGUGGGGGACAUGAGCGCUGCCCUUGAGGAGUUUAUAAUCUCACAGGGUCAAGAUGAGCAGACAAGGGCAAGGAAAAAGACCAAGUAAGAUGAAU
rnacentral:lncRNA from 1 species